GUUCAGCUCUCAUCCUAGAGCCUUCAAGCCCACCCCACGCUGGGCCUUUCUCCAUCUCUGCCAGUGGACUCUUCUGCAGCUCGGAAAGUCAGCAUGUGCGUCGUGGCUCCAGCUCUGCUGCAGUUCAGCUCUCAUCCUAGAGCCUCCAAGCCCACCCCACGCUGGGCCUUUCUCCAUCUCUGCCAGUGGACUCUUCUGCAGCUCGGAAAGUCAGCAUGUGCGUCGUGGCUCCAGCUCUGCAUCCGUUCAGCUCUCAUCCUAGAGCCUUGAAGCCCACCCCACGCUGGGCCUUUCUCCAUCUCUGCCAGUGGACUCUUCUGCAGCUCGGAAAGUCAGCAUGUGCGUCGUGGCUCCAGCUCUGCAUCCGUUCAGCUCUCAUCCUAGAGCCUUGAAGCCCACCCCACGCUGGGCCUUUCUCCAUCUCUGCCAGUGGACUCUUCUGCAGCUCGGAAAGUCAGCAUGUGCGUCGUGGCUCCAGCUCUGCAGCCGUUCAGCUCUCAUCCUAGAGCCUCCAAGCCCACCCCACGCUGGGCCUUUCUCCAUCUCUGCCAGUGGACUCUUCUGCAGCUCGGAAAGUCAGCAUGUGCGUCGUGGCUCCAGCUCUGCUGCAGUUCAGCUCUCAUCCUAGAGCCUCCAAGCCCACCCCACGCUGGGCCUUUCUCCAUCUCUGCCAGUGGACUCUUCUGCAGCUCGGAAAGUCAGCAUGUGCGUCGUGGCUCCAGCUCUGCUGCAGUUCAGCUCUCAUCCUAGAGCCUUGCAAGCCCACCCC